UACGGAGGGGGCUAGCGUUGUUCGGAAUUACUGGGCGUAAAGCGCACGUAGGCGGCUUUGUAAGUUAGAGGUGAAAGCCCGGAGCUCAACUCCGGAACUGCCAUUGAAACUGUGAGACUUGAGGAUGAGAGAGGUGAGUGGAAUUCCCAGUGUAGAGGUGAAAUUCGUAGAUAUUGGGAAGAACACCGGUGGCGAAGGCGGCUCACUGGCUCAUUUCUGACGCUCAGGCGCGACAGCGUGGGGAUCAAACAGG
rnacentral:rRNA from 1 species